rnacentral:rRNA from 1 species
GAUGAACGCUAGCUACAGGCUUAACACAUGCAAGUCGAGGGGAAACGAUAGAGAAAGCUUGCUUUUUCUAGGCGUCGACCGGCGCACGGGUGAGUAACGCGUAUCCAACCUGCCCACCACUUGGGGAUAACCUUGCGAAAGCAAGACUAAUACCCAAUGAUAUCCCUAGAAGACAUCUGAAAGGGAUUAAAGAUUUAUCGGUGAUGGAUGGGGAUGCGUCUGAUUAGCUUGUUGGCGGGGUAACGGCCCACCAAGGCUACGAUCAGUAGGGGUUCUGAGAGGAAGGUCCCCCACAUUGGAACUGAGACACGGUCCAAACUCCUACGGGAGGCAGCAGUGAGGAAUAUUGGUCAAUGGACGAGAGUCUGAACCAGCCAAGUAGCGUGCAGGAUGACGGCCCUAUGGGUUGUAAACUGCUUUUAUAAGGGAAUAAAGUGAGUCUCGUGAGACUUUUUGCAUGUACCUUAUGAAUAAGGACCGGCUAAUUCCGUGCCAGCCGCCGCUGUAA